UUAACAUAGGGCCAUGGGGGUGAAAGCAAUGAGGGGGUGUAGUGGUUUCAUGAAACGAAGAAAAAAAUUCGCUAAAAAACACUCCAUCUGGUUCAACAAAUAAGUUCGGACCCAUGAAUGUGGCAAGGGAAACAACGUGUCCUCAAAUCCACCACACUAGCAUCAUUCAACGCGGCUUCUCCGAGAGGAAACGACGACGAGAAAACACCGUGAAUCGACCUCGUCGGCAAGAAUGAAUCAUGUGCGCAUCAACAAAGCUGAAAGGAGAGAUACUCACCGAUUUCACGUUGCCGUUGGAUUCUUCGUGUUGUUGAAGACGAAAGAUGAAGGAAUGUUCUGGUUGAUUGAGUUGAAGAGCAUUUAUUCGUGCCUUUGAUACUCGAUUCGUCAUUGUGUUGCGAAUCGUUGUUGUUGUCGAUUCUUCGAUUUACCGUCGAUGAUGAAGAGUGAAGUGUUGGAAGUGUGAUGGCAUUCGCGGUUGAAGCGGUGAAUCCAUUGCUGCAUCCGUGAUGAAGAUGAAGCCUCUUUCAAACUCUUGAACAUGGUUUGGAUUCAAGCUUGGAAUUUUCCAUGAAGCUACUUGGCGAUUGUCUUAUGGUUAAGUGGGAUCGGGUUCUGGAUUUGGCUUGUGGUUUACCCGAUAGAAUGAAAAUGGAGCUUGAAACUGUUUUGAAGUUCAUUGGAUUGGCUGUGGAGAUUGCUCAUGGAAUUGGACUCAUGUAGGAUUGUUUUAGGAUUUAUGUAGAAAUAUAUAUUGUAAACUUGAACUGUUGUAAUUAGAAAGUGAUAGCAAUUGAAAUGUUGUAAUUUGAUUGAAUUGGUUUAUGUAUGAUUGAAUUGGUUUAUGUAUGGUUAUGUAUGAAAUUUGGAUAUAUGUAAUUGAUA